rnacentral:rRNA from 1 species
CAGUCGCCACGGUAAUACGGAGGGUGCAAGCGUUAAUCGGAAUUACUGGGCGUAAAGCGCACGCAGGCGGUUUGUUAAGUCAGAUGUGAAAUCCCCGAGCUUAACUUGGGAACUGCAUUUGAAACCGGCAAGCUAGAGUCUUGUAGAGGGGGGUAGAAUUCCAGGUGUAGCGGUGAAAUGCGUAGAGAUCUGGAGGAACAUCAGUGGCGAAGGCGGCCAUCUGGGACAACACUGACGCUGAGGCACGAAAGCGUGGGGAGCAAACAGGAUUAGAUACCCGAGUAGUCCCUGUCUCUUAUAA